GAUGAACGCUAGCUACAGGCUUAACACAUGCAAGUCGAGGGGAAACGAUAGAGAAAGCUUGCUUUUUCUAGGCGUCGACCGGCGCACGGGUGAGUAACGCGUAUCCAACCUGCCCAUCACUUGGGGAUAACCUUGCGAAAGUAAGACUAAUACCCAAUGGCGUCUCUAGAAGACAUCUGAAAGAGAUUAAAGAUUUAUCGGUGAUGGAUGGGGAUGCGUCUGAUUAGCUUGUUGGCGGGGUAACUGCCCACCAAGGCGACGAUCAGUAGAGGUUCUGGGAGGAACUGCCCCCACAUUGGAACUGGUGCGCGGUCCAAGCUCCUACGGGAGGCAGCAGUGAGGAAUAUUGGUCAAUGGGCGUGAGCCUGAACCAGCCGAGUAGCGGGCGGGAUUACGGCCCUAUGGGUUGUAACUGCUUUUAUAAGGGAAUAAAGUGAGUCUCGUGAGACUUUUUGCAUGUACCUUAUGAAUAAGGACCGGCUAAUUCCGUGCCAGCCGCCGCAGUAA
rnacentral:rRNA from 1 species